rnacentral:rRNA from 1 species
AUUGAACGCUGGCGGCAGGCCUAACACAUGCAAGUCGAGCGAGCGGGGGACGGGGGAGUAAGGUCUGGGAAACUGCCUGAUGGAGGGGGGUAACUACUGGAAACGGUAGCGAAUACCGCAUACCAUCAGAGGUGCCCAGAUGGGAUUAGAUAGUAGGUGGGGUAACGGCUCACCUAGGCGACGAGCCCUAGCUGGUCUGAGAGGAUGACCAGCCACCAUGGAACUGAGACACGGUCCAGACUCCUACGUGAGGCAGCAGUGGGGAAUAUUGCACAAUGGGCGCAAGCCUGAUGCAGCCAUGCCGCGUGUGUGAAGAAGGCCUUCGGGUUGUAAAGCACUUUCAGCGUGGAGGCGUUACUCGCAGAAGAGUCACCGGCUAACUCCGUGCCAGCAGCCGCGGUAAUUC